rnacentral:tRNA from 1 species
GCAUUGGUGAUUCAGUGAUAGAAUUCCCACCUUCCAUGUGGGGAGCCUGGGUUUGAUUCCCACUCAAUGCA